rnacentral:rRNA from 1 species
GUGUAAGCAGCUGCGGUAAUACGUAGGGGGCAAGCGUUGUCCGGAUUUAUUGGGCGUAAAGAGCGUGUAGGCGGCCAGACAGGUCCGUUGUGAAAACUCGAGGCUCAACCUCGAGACGCCGAUGGAAACCGUCUGGCUAGAGUCCGGAGGAGGAGAGUGGAAUUCCUGGUGUAGCGGUGAAAUGCGCAGAUAUCAGGAGGAACACCAAUGGCGAAGGCAGCUCGCUGGGACGUGACUGACGCUGAGACGCGAAAGCGUGGGGAGCAAACAGGAUUAGAUACCCUGGUAGUCCACGCCGUAAACGAUGGGUACUAGGUGAAUGGGGGAGCGACCCUCUGGGUGCCGGCGCUAACGCAGGAAGUACCCCGCCUGGGGAGUACGACCGCAAGGUUGAAACUCAAAGGAAUUGACGG